GUUAUUAUAGUGUAAGUAUAAACACGUUACAUUUUCACUGUAAAGAUAAAGAAUCCUUUUAAAAACU
rnacentral:tRNA from 1 species